rnacentral:rRNA from 1 species
UACGUAGGGGCCUAGCGUUGUCCGGAUUUAUUGGGCGUAAAGAGCUCGUAGGCGGUUUGGUGAGUCGGGUGUGAAAUCUCCACGCUCAACGUGGAGGGGCCACCCGAUACUGCCAUGACUAGAGUCCGGUAGGGGAGUGUGGAAUUCCCGGUGUAGCGGUGAAAUGCGCAGAUAUCAGGAGGAACACCGGUGGCGAAGGCGGGUCUCUGGGCCGGCAUUGACGCUGAGGUGCGAAAGCGUGGGGAGCAAACAGG